GCUGUUCAGUGAUGAGGCUGUGGAAUGAGCGCUGGGCACGGUGCCCGAACCAGACUGAGGAAAUACUCCAUGCUGCCUUCCUUCUGAGAACAGC
ensembl:snoRNA